GACGAACGUUGGCGGCGUGCUUAAUACAUGCAAGUCAACUGAAGCAGUGGUAGCAAUAUCGCUGUGGAGGUGGCGCACGGGUGUGUAACACGUAGGUAAUCUGCCUUCAGGUCUGGCAUAACUCCGGGAAACCGGGGCUAAUAGCAGAUGAUGCAGCGGCUCGACAUCGAGACAGUUGUUAAAGCUAUGGCGCCUGAAGAUGAGCCUGCGUCUGAUUAGCUAGUUGGCGGGGUAACGGCCCACCAAGGCAACGAUCAGUAGCUGGUCUGAGAGGAUGAUCAGCCACACUGGAACUGAGACACGGUCCAGACCCCUACGGGAGGCAGCAGUAAGGAAUAUUGCUCAAUGGGAGAAAUCCUGAAGCAGCAACGCCGCGUGAGGGACGAAGGGCUUUUGCUUGUAAACCUCUGUAGUGAGAGAAAAAAAUCCCAAUCUUUGGGACAUGAUGGUAUCUCAAAAGUAAGCCCCGGCUAACUACGUG
rnacentral:rRNA from 1 species